CGACCGCUGGCGGUGUGCUUAACACAUGCAAGUCGAACGGCAAGGCCCCUUUGGGGGUACUCGAGUGGCGAACGGGUGAGUAACACGUGAGUAACCUGCCCUUGACUUCGGGAUAACUUCAGGAAACUGGGGCUAAUACCGGAUAGGAAUCCUUGCUGCAUGGUGGGGGUUGGAAAGCUUCGGCGGUUUUGGAUGGACUCGCGGCUUAUCAGCUUGUUGGUGGGGUAGUGGCUUACCAAGGCUUUGACGGGUAGCCGGCCUGAGAGGGCGACCGGCCACAUUGGGACUGAGAUACGGCCCAGACUCCUACGGGAGGCAGCAGUGGGGAAUAUUGCACAAUGGGCGGAAGCCUGAUGCAGCAACGCCGCGUGCGGGAUGACGGCCUUCGGGUUGUAAACCGCUUUCAGCAGGGGCGAAGCUUGUGGUGACGGUACCUGCAGAAGAAGCACCGGCUAACUACGUG
rnacentral:rRNA from 1 species